rnacentral:rRNA from 1 species
AUACGUAGGGUGCGAGCGUUGUCCGGAAUUACUGGGCGUAAAGAGCUCGUAGGUGGUUUGUCGCGUCGUCUGUGAAAUUCCGGGGCUUAACUCCGGGCGUGCAGGCGAUACGGGCAUAACUUGAGUACUGUAGGGGAGACUGGAAUUCCUGGUGUAGCGGUGAAAUGCGCAGAUAUCAGGAGGAACACCGGUGGCGAAGGCGGGUCUCUGGGCAGUAACUGACGCUGAGGAGGGAAAGCAUGGGUAGCGAACAGGAUUAGAUACCCUGGUAGUCCAUGCCGUAAACGGUGGGCGCUAGGUGUAGGGGUCUUCCACGACUUCUGUGCCGUAGCUAACGCAUUAAGCGCCCCGCCUGGGGAGUACGGCCGCAAGGCUAAAACUCAAAUGAAUUGACGGGG